rnacentral:rRNA from 1 species
AUUGAACGCUGGCGGCAUGCCUUACACAUGCAAGUCGAACGGCAGCACGGGUGCUUGCACCUGGUGGCGAGUGGCGAACGGGUGAGUAAUACAUCGGAACAUGUCCUGUAGUGGGGGAUAGCCCGGCGAAAGCCGGAUUAAUACCGCAUACGAUCUACGGAUGAAAGCGGGGGAACUUCUGGCCUCGCGCUAUAGGGUUGGCCGAUGGCUGAUUAGCUAGUUGGUGGGGUAAAGGCCUACCAAGGCGACGAUCAGUAGCUGGUCUGAGAGGACGACCAGCCACACUGGGACUGGGACACGGCCCAGACUCCUACGAGAGGCAGCAGUGGUGAAUUUUGGACAAUGGGCGAAAGCCUGCUCCAGCAAUGCCGCGUGUGGGAAGAAGGCCUUCUGGUUGUAAAGCACUUUUGUCCGGAAAGAAAUCCUUGGCCCUAAUACGGUCGGGGGAUGACGGUACCGGAAGAAUAAGCACCGGCUAACUACGUG